UACGUAGGGCGCGAGCGUUGUCCGGAAUUAUUGGGCGUAAAGAGCUCGUAGGCGGCCUGUUGCGUCUGCUGUGAAAUCCCGGGGCUUAACCCCGGGCGUGCAGUGGAUACGGGCAGGCUGGAGGCAGGCAGGGGAGAACGGAAUUCCCGGUGUAGCGGUGGAAUGCGCAGAUAUCAGGAGGAACACCGGUGGCGAAGGCGGGUCUCUGGGCCGUUACUGACGCUGAGGAGCGAAAGCGUGGGGAGCGAACAGG
rnacentral:rRNA from 1 species